rnacentral:siRNA from 1 species
CUGACAUGACUACGGCCAGUGC